rnacentral:rRNA from 1 species
CACUCCUGCGGGAGGCAGCAGUGGGGAAUUUUGGACAAUGGGCGAAAGCCUGAUCCAGCAAUGCCGCGUGAGUGAAGAAGGCCUUCGGGUUGUAAAGCUCUUUUGUCAGGGAAGAAACGGUGAGAGCUAAUAUCUUUUGCUAAUGACGGUACCUGAAGAAUAAGCACCGGCUAACUACGUGCCAGCAGCCGCGGUAAUACGUAGGGUGCAAGCGUUAAUCGGAAUUACUGGGCGUAAAGCGUGCGCAGGCGGUUUUGUAAGUCUGAUGUGAAAUCCCCGGGCUCAACCUGGGAAUUGCAUUGGAGACUGCAAGGCUAGAAUCUGGCAGAGGGGGGUAGAAUUCCACGUGUAGCAGUGAAAUGCGUAGAUAUGUGGAGGAACACCGAUGGCGAAGGCAGCCCCCUGGGUCAAGAUUGACGCUCAUGCACGAAAGCGUGGGGAGCAAACAGGAUUAGAAACCCCGGUAGUCCC